UACGGGGGGGGCAAGCGUUGUUCGGAAUUACUGGGCGUAAAGGGCUCGUAGGCGGCCAACUAAGUCGGAUGUGAAAUCCCCAGGCUUAACCUGGGAACUGCAUCCGAUACUGGAUGGCUUGAAUCCGGGAGAGGGAUGCAGAAUUCCAGGUGUAGCGGUGAAAUGCGUAGAGUAUCUGGAGGAACACCAGUGGCGAAGGCGGCUAACUGGCCCAUUACUGACGCUGAGGCUCGAAAGCGUGGGGAGCAAACAGG
rnacentral:rRNA from 1 species